rnacentral:rRNA from 1 species
UGUACCUACGGGGGGCAGCAGUGGGGAAUAUUGCACAAUGGGGGGAACCCUGAUGCAGCGACGCCGCGUGAGUGAAGAAGUAUUUCGGUACGUAAAGCUCUAUCAGCAGGGAAGAAAAAAGGACGGUACCUGAGUAAGAAGCCCCGGCUAACUACGUGCCAGCAGCCGCGGUAAUACGUAUGGUGCAAGCGUUAUCCGGAUUUACUGGGUGUAAAGGGAGCGCAGGCGGCGCGUUAAGCCUGGUGUGAAAGCCCGCCGCCCAACCGCGGGACUGCAUUGGGAACUGGCGCGCUGGAGUGCCGGAG